UAUCUAUGCCUUGUGUAACUUUGCAGUGAGCUUGAUGUAGUCAGGGAGGAAAACUCUUCUAGAACAGGCAUACUACGCAAGAUGAAGACUUCUUUAAAAGUGCUAGCUGUUCAUAGGACACAGCAGGGUGAGAGAAGAGUCUGGUUUUGAAAAUGAGUGACUCCUGAAGACCUAUCUUACAGAAAAAAAUGAGACAGUUUGAACAAGCUGUUGGGUAUUACUGUGCUAACAACACUAGAUUAAGAUCACCAAAUGAAUAGCUACUCUUUGUACGGGUUAUUUUAUUUGCACGGAUUUCCAGGAUUUUUUUUCCUCCAGAGUCAGUCAGCCCUUCACUGCAACCCAUUUACACUUCUA